rnacentral:rRNA from 1 species
UAGGGAAUCUUCGGCAAUGGACGAAAGUCUGACCGAGCAACGCCGCGUGAGUGAAGAAGGCUUUCGGAUCGUAAAUCUCUGUUGUUAGAGAAGAACAAGGACGUUAGUAACUGAACGUCCCCUGACGGUAUCUAACCAGAAAGCCACGGCUAACUACGUGCCAGCAGCCGCGGUAAUACGUAGGUGGCAAGCGUUGUCCGGAUUCAUUGGGCGUAAAGCGAGCGCAGGCGGUUUCUUAAGUCUGAUGUGAAAGCCCCCGGCUCAACCGGGGAGGGUCAUUGGAAGCUGGGAGACUUGAGUGCAGAAGAGGGGGGUGGAAUUCCAUGUGUGGCGGUGAAAUGCGUAGAUAUAUGGAGGAACACCAGUGGCGAGGGCGGCUCUCUGGUCUGUAACUGACGCUGAGGCUCGAAAGCGAGGGAGGCAAACGGG